UCAAAAAAUCCACUUUCAUCAACGGGUUUCGAGAGGCUGGACUGCUGCGUGUUGAAGGGGCAGCAUGAGCUCAGCGGGGUAUUUGCCUCCGGAUGAAAGUGAGGAGAGCGACAAUGAAAACGAUCCAACAUCGGAUGAAGGAGGAGGAAGAUGGUGACCAAUGACUUUACUGAAGAACAUCUGUUUGCUAACUCACGUAGGAGACGUUCAAAAGAGGAAGCCUCCAGUUCUACCAACUUCCUCAUCAGUUGGGUAAGUUAUUUUGUUGCUGAUGAAAAUCGUUCAUUCUUUUUUAAUGAUGAGAUACUGUAGAGAACCAUCUGCAUUUUGGGCUCAAAUUUGUUGUAUAAUUCAUCCUCUUGAGAGGUUUUUGCAUACAUCACAAACCACAGUGAUGAUGAUUAAAAUUCAUUGAAUCGAAUCAAAUCAAAUGUUAUUGGUUGCGUACACAUAUUUGCAGAUGUUAGACGCAGGUGCGGCAAAAUGCUUGUGUUUCUAGCUCCAACAGUGCAGUAAUACCUAACAAUACAAAACAAUACACACGAAACCGGAAUAUAAAUAUACAUGUGUAUGAUGGUGUGUUUAGACAGUAUUGACAGUAUAUGAAUAGAAAAGGUGUGUACAGCAGUAGUUAUAUUGGAUGAUCCUUGACUAGAAUACAGUAUAUACAUAUGAAGUGGGUAAAACAGUAUAUAUGAACAUCAUUAAAGUGACCAGUGUUCAAUGAUUAUGUACAGUAUAUAGGGCAUGUCACGAAUCCCGUUUCCUGAGUCUGUUUUUUGCCUGUGUUCUGUCCUGGAGUGUUUUUUCCGGCGUCCUGGAACGCACCCUGUCUGGUUGCCGGGCAAUGUAGCCAGUUGGGAGUUCUGAUUACCCGCACCUGUAUCCCAUCAGCUAUCUGCACACCUGGUCCUGAUCAUCAUCUCUCCUUUUCAUAAGCCCGGACCUGACAUCCAUUCCCUGCCGGAUCGUUAGCCAUGAACAUUACUCACCCGGAUCAUUUACCCCAUUCCCGCCUGGUCGUCGGAGGAUUCCGCUACCCCAUUGGAUCCACCUAUUUACUCCCAUCAACUCACCACCGCUUCCCGCUACGCCACCUGACUAUAUCUACCCAUUCACAUUCACUUAUGGUAGUGUGGUGAACAAGUCAUGGCUUGGGUGGCUGAUGUCCUUGAUCUUCUUGGCCUUCCUGUGACACCGGGUACUGUAGAUGUCCUGGAGGGCAGGCAGUGUGCCCCGGUGAUGCGUUGGGCUGACCGCACCACCCUCUGGAGAGCCCUGCGGCUGUGGACGUUGCAAUUUCUGUACUAGGCGGUGAUACAGCCCGACAGGAUACUCUCAGUUGUGCAUCUGUAGAAGUUUGUGGGAGUCUUAGGGGCCAAGCCAAAUUUCUUCAGCCUCCUAAGGCUGAAGAGGCACAGUUGCGCCUUCUUCACCACACUGGGUGUGUAUGGACCAUUUCAGGUCGUCAGUGAUGUGCAUGCUGAGGAACUUAAAGCUUUUCACCAGCUCCACUGCGGCCAGGUCGAUGUGGAUGGGAGAAUGCUCUCUCUGCUACUUCCUGAAGUUCACGAUCAGCUCCUUCAUUUUGUUACAUUGAGAGAGAGGUUAUUAACCAUUGCACUGCCUCAUGUUUGACUUCAUCCCAUGACAAAAAUCACAGAGUCACAUUUCAUUAACAAAGUGAACUUGGUGGUCAAAAUAACUCUGAUUCUAACUUAAUUCAUAAUCAGUUUUCUAAGAAAGCCAUACAAGUUUAUCACCAGAAGUCAAGAUGAUCUCUUCCUGCCUGAGGUGCCUGUGGUUUCCUGUCACAGUUUCUCAAGCAUGCAGUGAGUUGUUGUAGUGUAGGAGGACCUGAAUGACAAUGGCCUCCAAACUUCUCAAACUAUUCAAGUUCUCAGAAGAAAGUAUACUAGUAAAACAGUUUAUUCAAGUUCAUGUAUUAUCUUAUGAACACAUGAUAGUUGAUCUGAUAUUACAUUUGGAGGUGGUAAACUGUUCGCUCUAUUACACUGAGAGUGCGAUGAGGAGGGUGGUACAAAAUAUAUUGAGGGGAAAUAUGGUAAUAGAAUAGUCAAAACCUUGUACUUACAAGGUUCUAUAAUUAUAUACUGAACAAAAACAUACAUGCAACAUGAAACAAUGUCAAAGAUGUUACUGAGUUACAAUUCAUAUAAGGAAAUCAGUCAAUUUAAAUAAAUAAAUUAGGCCCUAAUCUAUGUAUUUUACAUGACUGGGCAGGGGCGCAGUCAGGGGUGGGCCUGGGAGGGCAUAGCCGAAUGUGGAGGUCCUGGGCUGGCGUGGUUACACGGUUUCUGUGGUUGUGAAGCACUGUCAAAUUCUCUAAUACGACGUUGGAGGCAGCUUAUGGUAGAGAAAUUAACAUGACAUUCUCUGGCAACAGCUCUGGUGGACAUUCCUGCAGUCAGCAUGCCAAUUGCACACUCCCUCAAAACUUGAGCCAUCUGUGGCAUUGUGUUGUGUGACAAAACUGCACAUUUUAAAUUGUCCCCAGCACAAGGUGAACCUGUGUAUUGAUCAUGAUAUUUAAUCAGCAUCUUGAUGGAUUAUAUUGGAAAAGUUUAAAUGCUCACAUACAGGGACAUAAAGAUAUUCAUGCACAGAAUUUGAGAGAAAUAAGCUUUGCGUAUGGAACAUUUCUGGGAUUAUUUAUUUCAGCUAAUAAAACAUGAGACCAACAUUUUACAUGUUGCGUUUAUAUUUUUGUUCAGUAUAUAUAACAAUUGCACUUUCAAAAGUAGUUUAUAGGUAGAAACAUCUGAAAAGUAAACACACAAACGUUUAGACUUUGAGGUCUUGUUUAGGCAGUGUUCACAGCCUUUUUGUUUUAGGCAGUGUUCACAGCCUUUUUGUUUUAGGCAGUGUUCACAGACUUUUUGGGCGAUUUGUAAAUGGUGCUUCUGUAACGAUAUUCGUCAUCGCAAGAUGAGGAAUCAUUGGACCAAAGCGCAGCGUGGUAAGUGUUCAUGCUUUCUUUAUUAAAACUGAACACUAUAACAAAAUUAACAAGAGCAUAACCAAAACAGUCCUGUAAGGUGCAAACACUAAACAGAAAUUAUCCACAAAAACCCUGUGGGAAAAGCUACCUAAGUAUGGUUCCCAAUCAGAGACAAUGAUAGACAGCUGUCCCUGAUUGAGAACCAUACCCGGCCAAAACAAAGAAAUACAAAAACAUAGAAAAAGGAACAUAGAAUGCCCACCCAAAUCACACCCUGACCAAACCAAAAUAGAGACAUAAAAAGCUCAGGGCAUGACAGCUUCUAAUAUAAUUUGACUGAAGGCUUUUAAAGUGGAAUGUAAUGGAAGGUAGUUCCGGGUUACAGAUAAUUGAUGCCAGGCUCAUUGAGAUGGAUUGCUACUGUAUGAGUAAUUCAAAAGGCUUCUGAGCUCCAGCAUGCCAACUUUGAAAAAAGCUAGAGCCGUCCUUUGAAUUCCUGUAUAGUAAGCCUUACUGUGACUCUGUUCCCACCUAAAAGCUUUCACAGACAGAUCACAGAUCUGUUGUUUGCUAAUUGUUUAUACUGUGAGGCAACUGCUUUGAGGAAGUGUUGUGUGUGAAUGCACUCUGGGUAUGCACCCAAUGUGAAAAUAUUGACACAGUAUGCAGUAUAAUGGCUCCAAACAAUUCCAAGGCUGGAAAAGCAUUGGUAGCUGUCUGGUUUGCCAUAGGUGUCACAAUUUAACAAUAUAAUCAACUGUAGUGCAAUGAUGAACAUCAGCACACUGGCCACACUGGCUGCUUAACAUUUAUCUCAGCCUCACUCAGUGAAUUAGUGAAGGAUCUGUCAACUGAUGCCACGAGGAGAUUACAUUGACAUUAUCAUUUAGCAAACGCUCUUAUCCAGAGCCACUUACAAUAAGUGCAUUCAAAUGAGGGGCCAUGAACAAUUGCAUAACAUGCAUCAACUCCAAAGGCAGAAACCACAGUUGUGUGUGUGACAUGGUUAAGUGCCAUUCCAUAAGGGAUAUAGGUAAGACAAAGAUAUAGUAAGUGUCAGGAGCCAGAGGAGAUGGGAGGGGAGGGACUCUCUGGAGUCUAAAGUUUGCUGGAGGCCAGAAUGCUUUCAGUCUGAAGAGACCGUUCUUUAGUCUGCUGUCCUGACCGUAGUGAAGACGAGGUCAUUAAUGUAGAGGACAGAAAAGAGUUGUGACUGGGAUAGGUGACUGCAUACAAAUUCUGAUAUCAAAAUGACCACAUCUGAACUUACAUUGUUAAGUUUGACCAGCUGGAGCGUCCAGAGUCCAUCUUCACUGUGUGCUCAUUGUUCCCACCCUGUACUGACUAUAGUGAUUUGGACUGCACUUUAAAAAACAGCAUGGAGGUUAUAUAUGGACUUAUUAAUGAUCGUCGGUAGAGAGGGAGCAGCUAAAUUAUUCUCCAUUCUAAAAUGGCUGUGCCAAACUAAAUACCCACUUUUAAUGCCACUAAUUUAGCUGUUGCAGUUUGAUGAAAUAAUACAUCCAAUCUAUGUGCAGUUCAGUCAGAAGUCAGAAGUUUACAUACACCUUAGCCAAAUACAUUAAAACUCAGUUUUUCACAAUUCCUGACAUUUAAUCUAAAUAAAAAUUCCCUGUCUUAGGUGAGUUAGGUCCACCACUUUAUUUUAAGAAUGUGAAAUGUCAGAAUAAUAGUAGAGGACUGAUUUAUUUCAGCUUGAAUUUCUUUCAUCACAUUCCCAGUGGGUCAGAAGUUUACAUACACUCAAUCAGUAUUUGGUAGUAUUGUCUUUAAAUUGUUUAACUUGGGUCAAACGUUUCGGGUAGCAUUCUACAAGCUUCCCACAAUAAAUUGGGUGAAUUUUGGCCCAUUCCUCCUGACAGA